AACGCACAUUGCGCCCUUUGGUAUUCCGAAGGGCAUGCCUGUUUGAGUGUCAUAUAGACUCACCUACUCGGGUUUCCGAACUAGGUGCUUUGGACGUUUGCCGCCUUCUGGCUCGUCUUAAAUGUCUAAGUGGAAUGCGUAAUAAGUUUUCGCUCUCUCCACUCUAAUUACACUUUAGCUCUGACCUCAAAUCAGGUAGGACUACCCGCUGAACUUAA
rnacentral:misc_RNA from 1 species